rnacentral:rRNA from 1 species
UACGUAGGGGGCUAGCGUUGCUCGGAAUUACUGGGCGUAAAGGGCGCGUAGGCGGCUCUGUUAGUCAGGCGUGAAAGUCCUGGGCUCAACCUGGGAACUGCGCUUGAUACGGCAGAGCUAGAGGAUGGAAGAGGCUCGCGGAAUUCCCAGUGUAGAGGUGAAAUUCGUAGAUAUUGGGAAGAACACCGGUGGCGAAGGCGGCGAGCUGGUCCAUUACUGACGCUGAGGCGCGACAGCGUGGGGAGCAAACAGG